rnacentral:rRNA from 1 species
CCUACGGGUGGCUGCAGUGGGGAAUAUUGCACAAUGGGCGCAAGCCUGAUGCAGCCAUGCCGCGUGUGUGAAGAAGGCCUUCGGGUUGUAAAGCACUUUCAGCGGGGAGGAAGGCGGUGAGGUUAAUAACCUCAUCGAUUGACGUUACCCGCAGAAGAAGCACCGGCUAACUCCGUGCCAGCAGCCGCGGUAAUACGGAGGGUGCAAGCGUUAAUCGGAAUUACUGGGCGUAAAGCGCACGCAGGCGGUCUGUCAAGUCGGAUGUGAAAUCCCCGGGCUCAACCUGGGAACUGCAUUCGAAACUGGCAGGCUAGAGUCUUGUAGAGGGGGGUAGAAUUCCAGGUGUAGCGGUGAAAUGCGUAGAGAUCUGGAGGAAUACCGGUGGCGAAGGCGGCCCCCUGGACAAAGACUGACGCUCAGGUGCGAAAGCGUGGGGAGCGAACAGGAUUAGAUACCCUGGUAGUC